AGCGGCGGACGGGUGAGUAACACGUGGGUAUCCUACCUAUAAGACUGGGAUAACUCCGGGAAAACCGGGGCUAAUACCGGAUAACAUAUUGAACCGCAUGGUUCAAUGUUGAAAGACGGUUUCGGCUGUCACUUAUAGAUGGACCCGCGCCGUAUUAGCUAGUUGGUAAGGUAACGGCUUACCAAGGCAACGAUACGUAGCCGACCUGAGAGGGUGAUCGGCCACACUGGAACUGAGACACGGUCCAGACUCCUACGGGAGGCAGCAGUAGGGAAUCUUCCGCAAUGGGCGAAAGCCUGACGGAGCAACGCCGCGUGAGUGAUGAAGGUCUUAGGAUCGUAAAACUCUGUUGUUAGGGAAGAACAAAUUUGUUAGUAACUGAACAAGUCUUGACGGUACCUAACCAGAAAGCCACGGCUAACUACGUGCCAGCAGCCGCGGUAAUACGUAGGUGGCAAGCGUUAUCCGGAAUUAUUGGGCGUAAAGCGCGCGUAGGCGGUUUCUUAAGUCUGAUGUGAAAGCCCACGGCUCAACCGUGGAGGGUCAUUGGAAACUGGGGAACUUGAGUGCAGAAGAGGAGAGUGGAAUUCCAUGUGUAGCGGUGAAAUGCGCAGAGAUAUGGAGGAAGACCAGUGGCGAAGGCGGCUCUCUGGUCUGUAACUGACGCUGAUGUGCGAAAGCGUGGGGAUCAAACAGGAUUAGAUACCCUGGUAGUCCACGCCGUAAACGAUCACUUAUAAGGGUUAGGGGGGUUUCCGCCCCUUAGUGCUGCAGCUAACGCAUUAAGCACUCCGCCUGGGGAGUACGACCGCAAGGUUGAAACUCAAAGGAAUUGACGGGGACCCGCACAAGCGGUGGAGCAUGUGGUUUAAUUCGAAGCAACGCGAAGAACCUUACCAAAUCUUGACAUCCUUUGAUCGCUCUAGAGAUAGAGUUUUCCCCUUCGGGGGACAAAGUGACAGGUGGUGCAUGGUUGUCGUCAGCUCAUGUCGUGAGAUGUUGGGUUAAGUCCCGCAACGAGCGCAACCCUUAAGCUUAGUUGCCAUCAUUAAGUUGGGCACUCUAGGUUGACUGCCGGUGACAAACCGGAGGAAGGUGGGGAUGACGUCAAAUCAUCAUGCCCCUUAUGAUUUGGGCUACACACGUGCUACAAUGGAUAAUACAAAGGGCAGCGAACCCGCGAGGUCAAGCAAAUCCCAUAAAAUUAUUCUCAGUUCGGAUUGUAGUCUGCAACUCGACUACAUGAAGCUGGAAUCGCUAGUAAUCGUAGAUCAGCAUGCUACGGUGAAUACGUUCCCGGGUCUUGUACACACCGCCCGUCACACCACGAGAGUUUGUAACACCCGAAGCCGGUGGAGUAACCUUUUAUUAGGAGAUAGCCGUCGAAGGUGGGACAGAUGAUUGGGGUGA
rnacentral:rRNA from 1 species